rnacentral:lncRNA from 12 species
UCAUAACGACUCUGUGAGCUCAGAAAAGUUAAGGGACUUGUCUGAUAUCACAUAACCAGGAAUUGAGCGCUUGGUAUCUGAUGCCAAUUUCUGCACUGCAUGAUCUUCUCAUUGAUACUAGAGUGAAUGCAACAUAAGUAGGCAAGCACAUCUUUUGCACAAAGCCAUCUAUUAAAAAUAUGGACAGGUCUUUUGGGUUAUUUGCUGAUUUGGGUUGUCAUGCACUGUGCCAGUCUGUAUUUUGCAGAUAAUGAAAGCUGAGAGCACCCUCUGUCUUUGUAAGCAUCUGUUUGUGUGCUAUGUGGUCAGGAGAAGAACAAGGAUCCAGAGCUGAGACACCAAAUUGCAGUUGAAGUAACAGCCUGGGGAAAAGCAACAACAAACCACUUCACUCCUCUGAGUAGAAACAUGCAAUUGUACCAAGAAGGACAAGGAAAAAACUUCUCAUACAUAGAGAAAGAAGUUGGGAGUGAAAGCAGACAGGCUACUUUGGCAUCUGACGCAAGAGAUGUGAGAAAGUAGCUCAGUGCAUUAGUUGGAAAAGUAGAGCUGUGAGACCAGGCCCAGGAAGAGCCUUGAGUAUGAAGUCUCAAAGGACUGGAUGGGCUGCCAAUCCUCGUUUUGGACUUUGGAUCCUUGAGGUGGCAGUAGCUGCUCCUGCAACUUGUCCUGCCCUGCUGUCCUAGAAGCAGGCUGGGACUUUAGCAAUCUGACUUUGUUGAUGAACGUGGGCUCCAGCAUUUCUUAUCAUGAACUUGAAAUGUCACAGUGACAUUAGAUGAGAUGAUGCAUAGGGAGAGUCCAUGUGGGUGAUUCAG